AUGAGGAAAGGCUGAGAGAGCUUGGCCUGUUUAGCCUGGAGAAGAGAAGGCUGAGAGGGGAUCUUAUUAACGUGUACAAGUAUCUGAAGGGAGGGUGUCAAGAGGAUGGGACCAGACUCUUUUCAGUGGUGCCGAGUGACAGGACGCGAGGCAAUGGGCACAAACUGAAACACAGACAGUUCCAUCUGAACAUGAGGAAAAACUUUUUCACUGUGAGGGUGACAGAGCACUGGAACAGGUUGCCCAGAGAGCUUGUGGAGUCUCCUUCUCUGGAGAUAUUCAACACGCGCCUGGAUGCAAUCCUGUGCAACGUGCUCUAGGUGACCCUGCUUGAGCAUGGGGGUUGGACUAGAUGAUCUCCAGAGGUCCCUUCCAACCUCAGCGAUUCUGUGAUUCUGUGAAUCAAAUCUUCUGCAUGGUAGCAGAAAAUUGAUAGUUUUCACGUAAUCGUUUUUCAUUGACCUACCUGAAAUUUUUAUCUGGAGUCCAUUUGCUGGAAUGGUGUGCAUAUUACAAAAAUGGCCACUGUCAUUGCUGCUGUUGACAAUUUCAGCAGAGCAGUCAAAGAGGAACAGUGCUUGGAGACUUAAUUAUCCUCACUCUCAUUUUUAGGUCUUACUUCUCCAGGCAGCCUGAUGCAGAAAGGGUGCUGGCUUGCUUUUAUCACAUCAAAGCCUGAUAACAGCAAUUCUGUGCUUACCAACCUCCCUCAUGAGCGUAUACAGCAUCCACAGAUGCCUUUGAAGACUUCUGCUGAGGAUCAUGGACCAUGUCCUAGUUCUCUAAUCCUGCAAGGAGAUAACAGUCCCACAAUGGAGGAAAUGGGCAAAAGUGAUGGAAUCAGUGAGCUGAAACAUCUGCACAUCACCAGCAGCUGCCACUGCCCUCAAGGAAAUCUUCCAGAGAAGGAUCUCUCCCCUCAUUGAACUGAUGUGAUUCUCACCUAGCAAAAGAGCAUGUACAGAAUGAUUUGAGAGGAAAACUGAAGACCCAGUCCACUUGUUCCUAUCUUUGGUCUCCUUUUCUCAAAGUCGUGUUCCUGAAGUUAAUGAACACUUCACAUUAUUGCCUAACCAUAACUUCUCCUUUCCCUCUUGAGACCCAAUCCCCUGUGAAAAGUCUCUCAGUCCUAACCAAAACCAGAUAAACAGAAAUGCUAUUUCAGUUCAUUGAGUGUGACUGACACAAUGUUUGAAAACACCACUCAGCUUAGGCAGUCAAAAUGGCUAGCUCAUACUUCAGGCUACAAAAAAACCCUCAUUACAGCAAGUCUGAUCUGUACUCAGAAAAAUCUAUAGUGGUAUCACAAAGAUUGGUUUCCAAAUGAAAAAUAGAGGUUUGACAUGAACCUUAGGACUUUUUAUCUUCUGUGACAAGUUUGCAAAGGAAAAGGAACUUGUGUUUUAUGCCAGAGGCACUAGA
rnacentral:lncRNA from 1 species